CCCCGCGGCGCCCCCGCCCGGCCGCAGCGUUAUGUAACCGGCCCGGGGCGAGCGGCGCCCAAGCCCCGCCGCAGCGCCCGCGACGUCACAGACCGCCGGGAUUGUGACGUCACGCCGGGCCCGGGCCCCGCGUUCGGAGCGGAGGGUAGGGGCGCGCCCUGCCCCGAGCCUUGGCAAGGCUUUUUUCCUCCGGCGCGGGGGGUGGGGAUGCAUUUCAGCGGCGUUUCCCGGGCCCGCUCUUCGUGCACGGCUUCGGGCAUCCACUGCAGAAGGGGUUUGUGGUCCCGCACGGCUCCACCCACGCCUGGUACAAGGGAAUCGGCGCAGAAAUAAGACUGCCAGUGUCCACUGUCACGCUCAGCGCCAUGGUUCCUGUCGCAGUGCCAGCCCAGACUGCACGGUGCCCAGUACAGCGGGGCUAGGGGCCUGCAAUAAGAUCAUCCUGAUCUGGGAAGCAUUUAUUCAACAACAGGAGAGCAAGCGUUGGAGGGAAAAAAAGGAAGGCUUCUCCUUACUUUUGCAAAUGGGAAACUGAGGCAAAAUGUCAUAGGCUCCAGCCUUGCAAAGGUUAGAGACCGGCAUGCCAGUUUAACCCCCUACUGGCAGCUGCACCCAUUCACAAGUCAUAGCUGAUUUAAAAACAAUACAUAGAAAAAUCACAGAAUCCUAGAGAAGGGACCUACAGAGAAGGAGCAGCCCUAUCCAAACCAUGCUCUACAACUCCACCUAAGACUACCACCAACCCUGACACAACCUGUCACAGGUAAAGCAGGAGAACCACAGCAGCCAGCGUCCUGCAUUCUCAUGUUUUGAACCUUUGGGCUUCACGUGUUUAGGCUUUUCUCUGCAACUGUGAGAACAAGAAACUUCCUUAGAAACAAGGAAAAUGGAGAGUCCCAGGGAACUGCAUGACUUCAGGGGCCAGGCCUUUAAGUCACCAACCUCAAGAGACAAGCAAAUCAGGACAUUUAAAAAAAAAAAAGUUUCACCAUUUAAGUAGCCCUGAUGAAAUCACACUUGGGUCUCCAGAGACCUACAUCAAGCUCUUAAUCACAAGCUCAUCUUUUCUCUUGAAUGACUACCUCCAAGGCAGAGGAACAACACUAUAGGAACACCAAGAGAACGAGAAAGUCAUUCCACACUACCGCAAACAGCAACAGGAGUGACCAUGUGAGCAUAUGCAUGUAAAACAGUUGAUGAUUCUUCAAAAUAGGAAUGAAGAGACUGAAAACUACUGACCAUCGUAGUAGUUGCUUCCAGUGUCACUCAGAUCUACCCAUUGUCUACUGUAGCACACGUCGAGCUCAGCAGGGAAGGCUCCCUGCACUCAGUUCUGGCGCCUGGUUUUGACAAAGCUCAAAGCAGCAGUGGCAAGAAAAGUCUUCUCAGCUUGAAGAAAAAACAACCUGGUAAUUUAGCUCAAACAGCAAGAAGACUGCUGAGCAUGUAAACUGCAGUUUUCAAGGACAUGUAACCUAGUCAGUAAGCAGAUUUUCAAUACUAACCAGGGAGAAUCCCGUGGAAAUGCAGUGUCUCCUCCCCCACACAUCCACAGUGUAGCUCCAUAGCUCUGGUCUCCAGCAGCUGCAGAUCCUUGGGCUCCCCAGAGUCUGACCCAUCCCAUGGGAGCAGCAGCCCCUGAAGCAGGCAAGAAUCCCACCUACUCAACACCUUCUCCUCCCUCUCCCCUUCCCAUCUCUACUGAUGACUCUGGAUGCAGGAAAGGGAAACCCUACCCAUUGCUGUCCCUAGCUGGCCCAGGUGUGAAGUGAGCCCCAGAACUGCUCCAGCCAGGGCUGUAAGGCACAGCUGUACAGUUGAAUGCAGCCAGGGACAGUUGGUGGCUUCACCCCCACCUCCUGCUGUCCCUGUUGGAGCCUAAUUCCUCACAGUUCUCCCUGUAGGGCCUGGCUAGAGCAGGGAAGCAGGGACCAGGACAUCAGCAGUGAUGGGAGUCUUCUCUUCCUAUGCCAGAAGUUUAAAGGCACAGAGGAGGGAGGGGGAAUUCUUACCUGAUUUUGGAAAGUCCUCAGCUUCUGCCAUCACAGCAUGGUGUGCCUGCCCAUGGGGUGGGGUAAGGGGAGCACAGGGAAAGAAGCUAGGAGCAGGGGGUGCAGCCAACCUGGAUCAAAAUUGAAUCUGCCUAUGAGUACUGGUAAAGUGAUAUAUAGUCACUCCUCUGCCAAAUUUCCAAGUCACUGUUUCAAAGUAUAACAUUGUUAGACCUUUAAGAGAGUAACAUAUACAUUUUUUUUUUCAAAAGGCAGGCAGGCAGGCAGGCUCAUGGUGGUUUCAGUAAAGAAAAAAAAAAUGAAAACCUGGAGCCCUGCUAAAUUAUAAGCAACUGAUAACUAGGAAUCCUGGUAUUCCCCCGUGUAAAAAUCUCAAAUACUCUGGUUAACAGCCCCAAAAUCCGUGAUUAAAAUGAAAUACAGCUAUAUAUACGCGUAUCAAUUGAACACAAUGUUUUAUUGAUAUAUUUACAAUUUUAAAACAAUUUGGAAGCCUACUAGUGCCUCAAUCACUAUAAUAAAAUAAAUUCUAAAUACCUAUA